GAGCGUUUCAGGUGCCCUGAGGUUCUCUACCAGCCCUCCCUCAUAGGUAUGGAAGCUGCUGGCAUUCACGAGACCACCUACAACUCGAUCAUGAAAUGCGAUGUCGAUAUCAGGAAGGAUCUGUACGGGAACAUCGUGCUCAGUGGCGGGACGACCAUGUUCCCCGGUAUCGCUGAUCGUAUGAGCAAGGAGAUCACAGCGCUUGCGCCCAGCAGCAUGAAGAUAAAGGUUGUGGCUCCGCCAGAGAGGAAGUAUAGUGUCUGGAUCGGGGGUGCAAACGUAGGAU
rnacentral:misc_RNA from 1 species